AGGAUAGAGACCACCUUCUGUGCAAUCUUGGAAGCCAUGGGGUAAAGCCACACAAUGGAAGGAUCCUGGAUCCCUGAGUCACUACUUGGAGAAGAGCCACUCUACCAGAAAUGUCCACUUAGGAAUAUGAUAUGAAGAAGAAAACCCCCAUGGACUUCAGUGAAUUUUAACAGUCAUAAACUGGAAGAGAACAUUUGAAACCACGGAGGGCAGAUAAUAUUUUUGCACCACUGACCAUAACAAUUAUUGUCAACACAUAUAGAAUUCUUUUAGAUACGUUGGUUUUGUGGUGGCCUUUUGAGGACUUGACAACAGAGAAGAAAGAUGUUUAUCUACUUAGAAAACCAAAUCAACGUAGGCCCAAUAACUGAAAAGGCCACUCUUUCUAAACUCUGCUUCAGUCUCACCUUGGAAAGAAAUCAAACAAUCAUACACGUGUUUUCUUUUUAUAGGCUUCUCAUUUUGUUCUGUUUGUCUACAUAAUACCAAUACCACACUUUCAAAAAUGUUGCAGCAUUAUUACUCUUAAUACCUGAAACUAUCCAUCCCCAACUUGGUUGUUAUUCUUUGAGAUUUUCUUGGUUAUUAUUUGUCCUUUGCAUAUCCAAAUACAUU